AGAAAAUAGAUACCCCGGUGGUCCACGCCGUAAACGAUGGAUGCUAGAUGUUUCCGGUAUUGACCCCGGAGGUGUCGUAGCUAAACGCGUUAAAGCAUCCCGCCUGGGGAGUACGGCCGCAAGGCUAAAACUCAAAGGAAUUGACGGGGCCCGGCACAAGCGGUGGAGCAUGUGGUUCAACUCGACGCAACGCGAAGAACCUUACCUGGGUUGGAACCCUCCAGAAGUCCGCAGAGAUGUGGAUGUGCCCGCAAGGGAGCUGGAUGUCCAGGUGCUGCAUGGCUGUCGUCAGCUCGUGUCGUGAGAUGUUGGGUUAAGUCCCGCAACGAGCGCAACCCUUGUCGUUAGUUGCCAGCGGUUCGGCCGGGCACUCUAACGAGACUGCCGGUGUUAAACCGGAGGAAGGUGGGGAUGACGUCAAGUCCUCAUGGCCCUUAUGCCCAGGGCUACACACGUGCUACAAUGGCCGGUACAAAGGGUCGCAAACCCGCGAGGGCCAGCUAAUCCCAAAAAAACCGGCCUCAGUUCAGAUUGAAGUCUGCAACUCGACUUC
rnacentral:rRNA from 1 species